GAUGAACGCUGGCGGCGUGCCUAAUACAUGCAAGUCGAGCGAACAGACGAGGAGCUUGCUCCUCUGACGUUAGCGGCGGACGGGUGAGUAACACGUGGAUAACCUACCUAUAAGACUGGGAUAACUUCGGGAAACCGGAGCUAAUACCGGAUAAUAUAUUGAACCGCAUGGUUCAAUAGUGAAAGACGGUUUUGCUGUCACUUAUGGAUGGAUCCGCGCCGCAUUAGCUAGUUGGUAAGGUAACGGCUUAUCAAGGCGACGAUGCGUAGCCGACCUGAGAGGGUGGUCGGCCACACUGGAACUGAGACACGGUCCAGACUCCUACGGGAGGCAGCAGUAGGGAAUCUUCCGCAAUGGGCGGAAGCCUGACGGAGCAACGCCGCGUGAGUGAUGAAGGUCUUCGGAUCGUAAAACUCUGUUAUUAGGGAGGAACAAAUGUGUAAGUAACUAUGCACGUCUUGACGGUACCUAAUCAGAAAGCCACGGCUAACUACGUG
rnacentral:rRNA from 1 species